UCCUCGAUAGCUCAGUUGGUAGAGCAGUAGACUGUUAAUCUAUUGGUCGCAGGUUCGAGCCCUGCUCGAGGAGCCA
rnacentral:tRNA from 1 species